GCGGCUGAGGGAGACUAGGGGGAGGUGGGUGCGCCUCAGGCCGCCGCCGCUGCCGCCGCCGCCGCGUAAAGGGAGGAGGGAGAGGAAGGGGAGGAGUCAAGGCGGCUACAGUUGCCGCCUCUUGCCCCACCCCCGGCCUCGGCUAGGUGGCGGAGGCUGAAUGUUGAUGGUAGGGGUUCCUCCACCCUGGGGGAAGUAAAGGGGGAGGGGAAGUAGCCGGGUGUGCAGACUGGAAGGGCAAGAGCCCCCUCCCCCCGCCGCGGGAGCGCGCGCGCACACGCGGCUCGAGCACGCUGACGUCUCGGCAGCCGGAGGUGAGAGCGAGCUGCUGCUUUCGGAGCUCCGAGCCCCAGGGGGAUUCACCUGCGGCUCCUCCGCCCGGAGGGGAACGCCGGGCCCCACUGCAGCCGCCCUUCCGGAGGGAUGAAAUUGACUUUUCUCAAGUGGCCCUGAGACCUGCUUCCAAAUUAGACAUCCUGUAGCAAUAUAGCAUUGUGGGAGACUGGUGAUUAAUGACCACAGAGGAAGUGAAGGUAUAGGAAAAUGAAAAGUUUGAUCACCCUGGGACAUCUCAGCCACUGAACUAAAGAACAGAGAAAACUGGAGCAGGGUGCCAAUGUGUGGAAUGCUAAACCAGGCUGGAAGGAAAGGAGACUAGAAUCUAGCUGGGUCCAGUUCUAGACUCACUGAAGUCACUUGGUUUAGGGACUGAGGCUAAUGAAAAGUGAAUUCCCCCGUGUGGUGUGGGAAGAAGCAGAGACACCUUUGAGUUCCAACCUUCAGGGAAGCUACCAUCAAAAAAAGAAAGGAACCAGAAACUGAAUAAUAAGGGAAUAAAGGGGAAAAGACUGAAUUUACCAAGGAUCCAAGGAGACAAUUCUGCUUUGAAAGUUGAGUGCAAGCAGGUUGAUCAACUGGGUGGCUAUUAAUACCAGAAGGGAAGAUGGCAUCUAAACAAACCCAGAAAUCUCUGAGUAAAUAUAACAAAA